GACUACCAAUGACCAGCUUAAUGGAGCUUUUUAAUUUUAUCAUACUAGUUGUCCCUAUUGUAGUUUGAGAACUAGAUUCUCAUGUAAAAUGAGAACAAAAAUAUCAUGUAAUUCAGAGUCAUGCAGAAAGUAUUUCUUGCUUACAAAAGAAAUAAAUGUAAUUUUUCCUAGAAAACCUGGAGCAGUUCAUGUGUCUUAUUCAGAGAACCAACAGCUCUCAAAUUUUCAUUAAAGGAGAAAAGUUUACUUCUGUGAUAGAACAGAUUUGUAAUAACUAAAAAGCAUCCAGAAAUGUGGUACUGUCUCAAACCAAGUCUAACUGGAAAGCAGAGGACAGACCUGAAGCAAUGCUGGAAAUAUUUCCACUUUGCUUAGGGGUGAAUUUUCAAGCUGGAACUUUAGAAAGUUAGAAAAUAUCUAAAUAGAUAUUACAAUUUUCAUCUUUGGUAAACUGAGGCUCCUAAAAUUUAAAUGAAUUUCUCCCAAAAUUAUAUUACUUGUUAGUGACAAAAUUAUAACUAUAAUUCAAUUUCCUUUCUUCUAGCUCAGUACAUGUAAUUUCAAAUGAGACAAAAUAUAGUGCAUCAUUUAUUAAUGACAAAGAAUAAUCAUUGUGAAAUUUAUUUCUAAUCAAGUUUGCCAAAAUCUACAUUCUGAAAUUCUACUCAUAAGUGCAUACUCUACUCCAAACCACCCAACUUAGAAAACAUAAUAUCUGAACACCCAUCUUGAGUUUUGCUAAACCAAGAAACUUAAACCUACCAGCUACUGAUUCUAUUCUUGUGACCUACUGCAUGGAUUUUCUUUGGCAGCCCAGUAAAAACCUCACAUGCUGAAAUAAUUUAUUUCUGAAUCUAAUAUCCCUACGCAAAUUCUUCCAUUUGAUUAACUUUUUUUUUCUCUUUAUCAUCUCAUAGACAUUCUAACAGAAUAGGAAAAUGGCUCAUUUAUCCAAUUAGAAAAAUAAAUCAAGUGAGGGAAUUUGAGAAGGUGGUGGGAGAAAGAGAAAAAUGGAUAAUGGACUUUCAUAAACUUCUGGGACACUGUACAUGAAGUAAUUUAAAGAUAGCUUCUUAGGGACUUAUAAUAGAGUUACAAUCUAUUUAAGAAUAUGUUAGGUUUCAAAAAGCUGUUUCUCAAUCUACCUGCUUGAACUUUCAAAGUAACCCUCAACAAGCAGCCCCUGAUGCCGUUGGGUGGUGGAUGCUGGCAGAGUUGAGGUCUUUCGACUGGACUCUUUAGGGGUUUUCAUACCUAUGAAGUUUGCAGGUUAAAUAUUUGUAAGAGGGCUUUUUUUCUAAGAGCAAAAAAGGGAAGAGUACAGAGGCUGCUUGGGUUGAAAUUAAGUAAAAUUUAACCAGGAGCUUAUAUAAGCAUCAGCCCUCCCCUUGUCCCUGAUUUUCAGAACCACUUUUCCACCUUGGGAGAAAUGCCUUGCACAAGAGUUGCUGGUUUAUCUUCCUUGUAGCCCCUCUAGAGAAAGAAGAGAAAGGAAAGCUUCUGCAGACUCUGUCCCUCAUUUCUCUGUCUCUCAACACCAUCAAUACUUGGGAGGAAAGGAAUAGCAGCAUUACCAAAUCAGGUCUGGCUGCUCCAAAAAAGCAACACUCAGAGAGAGAUUGACAAACAGUAGAAAAGAAAAGUGCUUUUAAUCAGAAAGCCAGCAAUCUGGGGAGAUGGUGGACUCAGGGUCCCUCAAAACCACCUCUGAAGAUUCUGCUUGGCCAUGAAACUUUUAAAGAGAAGAAAAAUGUGAAAGAUCUGCCUGGGGGUGGCUGGUUUAAAAGUUAGUUACAAUAAGCUUUGCUCAAGUGAGAGAAAAGGGGCUUCUUGCUGAGGGUAGUUUCCUGCAAAGCCCUGUUUAGAGCAACAAAGGCAUUGCUGAGACCCAAAUCAGAACAUCCUGUCUCUCCCGGAGCACCAGCAGAAGAACAAGGUACUUAGCACCAAAUGACUAAGUAUUGAAUGGAAUCAAUAGACAGUUCUGGAAAGGGAGGAAGUAGGUUAUAAAUAUUUGAUGACGUUAAUGGGAAACUCACAGAAAGCGAAGCAAACAGUGUCACAGGGUGCACUGGUAUACAGAUGCGUGCACUUCUGAGACAUUUUCCACUUAGUUUUACCUUUUACUACUAUGGGUGUUAGGCACCAAUUCUUCUUUUAUUUAUUUAUUUAUUUUGGAUCAACAUUGGUAGGAGGUCUGUUUCAUUGUUUACAUUCCUAUCACCCACAAGCUUGCCAGUACCUUUUUGGGAGAAACCAAGAGGAUGAAUUUUCUACCUCUCCAACCCAGGGCAUAUCUACAGCAAUUUUAAACCCCGUGUUUACACAUAAAGGUACAUAGUCUGCGUAAGACAUCACCUCAGCAACUAUCAUGUAAUCUGAUCCUGGCAGAGAACAGAUGGUGACUAUUUACUCUGCCUCAUCCCACCUGCAUCUCUGAAAGCCCAAAUAGAAAGCACUUUCAAAAACAGCCCUAAACCUGAGCAGGUAGCCUGGUGCUGCUGAUGACUAAUGCAAGUGUUGUUCAAAUUGAAGGAGAACUUAAAGUGUUUAAACACAUUUCCUCUACACAAAAGAACUUUAAACUUUAUAAAGUUCACAACUGUCAUCUUAUAUCACCCAUCUGUCCGGCUGUACGCGUAAGAAAUAUUGUGAUGAUAUAGGGUCUAGCAUUCCUGUCGAAUCUUAAAACCCAGGAUCUAUCCCAUACAGCAAUUCAGAGGGCAAAGCCAGGAGAACGUACUACAUGGGAGGCCUGUUCAGACAUCCAAGAUCUGGCUCGUAAUGACAAGGCUCAUAAAUUUGGAGGGAAACCCAGAAUAAUUCCCUGAAAAUGAAAUUAUUUCCAACGAUCUCUUUGGAAAUAAUUGAAAAUGAUAUUAGUUCAAAUUACGAUCUAAGAUCAAGAAUUAAUCAACAAAAGACAUAAGAAAUUCAGCCAAAGUAAGCACACUAACAUGGCCAGAAAUUCAAACAACCCCAUUUGAGAAGAAAAUAAAGAAAACAAACCUAAGUUCAGGUCCAAUCUCCCCGUCCAACUUCCAUUUUUUAUGUACACAUUGAAGCUCCUCAACUGUAAAAGGGUAAGGUCCCAGCAAAAAGAUGAAAUUGACACAAGAAUGCUGCAGGGGUGGGGUGGGAGGACCAGUCAGCAAGGGGUCUUCUGUAUCGGUCAUGGACAAUUUGAAGUCCUAAAAAACCUACGGGUUCUGACCCAAGCUCAGUCUGUGAAUCCUUUCGGCGCCUUGCUGACAUUUCUUAAGGAACCAAUCCAGUUGUG
rnacentral:lncRNA from 1 species